AACAAUGUUUUGGGGCACGGUCUUCUUAAGUCCUUGAAUUGCUUCCAUGCUUCAUACAAACUUUCGCCUUCUACUUGAUGCAAAUUCUGAAUUUAUUUCUUAAGCU